rnacentral:rRNA from 1 species
GUCAAUAUACUCAAUGAAAUUCUUAAAUGGCUGCAGUAUAUUGACUGUACUAAGGUAGCAUAAUGAAUUGUCCUUUAAUUAGAGAAUAGAAUGAAAGAAUUACGGAAAUUACAAAAUUACUGAAAUAUGUUGCCUACAAUAUAUACUAUAAAUUAARRUUUGUGUUAAAAUACAUUAAUAAAAUUACGGGACGGCAAUACCCCCUAGAAUUUUGUUUUAUUCAUUAAUUACAAAACUUGUCUUAAUUUUUAAUUGUGUAAUAAUAUUUGAUUGACAUGAUUAAUAAAUUUAUUUAACUUUAUUACAGUGAAAACUCCGAUUGAAGAAAAUUACGAUUCAUAAAAUAAAGAUUGAUUAAUAAGUUAUAUUACCUUAGGGAUGAGAGCGUAAUAUCUCUUCAUCGUACAUAUUAAUGAAGGUGUUUGCGACCUCGACGUUGAAUUACAAUAAAUUUUAAGUGGAGAUAUUUAAUAAUUAAUCCUGUUCAACUUUUAAAAUCUAACAUGAUUUGACUUG